rnacentral:rRNA from 1 species
CCUACGGGAGGCAGCAGUGGGGAAUCUUGCGCAAUGGGCGAAAGCCUGACGCAGCCAUGCCGCGUGAAUGAUGAAGGUCUUAGGAUUGUAAAAUUCUUUCACCGGGGACGAUAAUGACGGUACCCGGAGAAGAAGCCCCGGCUAACUUCGUGCCAGCAGCCGCGGUAAUACGAAGGGGGCUAGCGUUGCUCGGAAUUACUGGGCGUAAAGGGAGCGUAGGCGGAUAGUUUAGUCAGAGGUGAAAGCCCAGGGCUCAACCUUGGAAUUGCCUUUGAUACUGGCUAUCUUGAGUACGGAAGAGGUAUGUGGAACUCCGAGUGUAGAGGUGAAAUUCGUAGAUAUUCGGAAGAACACCAGUGGCGAAGGCGACAUACUGGUCCGUUACUGACGCUGAGGCUCGAAAGCGUGGGGAGCAAACAGGAUUAGAUACCCUGGUAGUCCACGCUGUAAACGAUGAGUGCUAGUUGUCGGGCAUGCAUGCAUGUCGGUGGACGCAGCUAACGCAUUAAGUACACCUCCCGCCGUCGGGGAGGGUACGGGUUCCGGCGAACGAAGUUUAAAAACGUUUAAAACGGUUAAAGUUAGUUACGGUCGUUGAGACGUUGCCGACGGCGACGACGAGGGGAGGAGG